rnacentral:lncRNA from 1 species
AAAGAGACUUCAGCAAUGAGGAAGUCCAGCUCCCAGUUGUUUGAAAUUGGAAACUGAGCUCCAGAGAGAUUAAGAUAAAGUGUCCAUUUUUACACAGGAAGUUAUCAAAAGAGCCACGGUCAAAUCUGGGUCUUCUGAUACUUAAAGCUGUGCUCUUCCUAAUACUAAAUGCUGCCUCCUUUGAGGCAUUUAAAUCUCUGUAAUCUAGAUCCAUUUCUAUGCCAACAUCGGUAAAUCACAAAUGAUUAGAAAAAAGGUGGCAGACUCAAACACCAACUCAUGCUUUUUAAUUUGAGUGGUUUUCUAGGUUCAUCUGAAAUAAAACAAAACAAUAUUUUUUAAAACUCCUUCCUGUUUACAAAAUUGAGAAUUCCUUCUUGACACUGGUGUUCAUGUUCUAUGUACUUUCCAAAUACGGAGAUCCUAAAAUACGGGCUGGCUGAACUUUUAAAUAUAAAGAAAGUCUUGCAGUUGAGAAUACUCUCCAACCAAAUGAGUUCAGUCUGCUUUCUGCUUCUGAGAUCUGGGUCUAAGGGGAUUAUUUUCAAAGAUGAGCAGGAGACUAAAGAGAAAGACAGGCUUCCUGUUACCUACCUUGAGUUUGAGAGUCUUGAAAACCUUGUGUGUAGCAUUGCAAAGCUGCCCUGGAACAUGAAAAAUACAGCCUCUUCUCACCAGUGCUGAAGGAGGCUUCUUCCGACUCCAGCUUGAAUGUUUCUCAAGACGGUCAGUUAAGUGAAACCAUCUUUUCCAAAAGCUUGAGUAAACCUGAGAACCUCCCCACCAAUGAAUUAGGUAGGAGGAAAGCGGGCCCCAGUGGCGAGUAUCAUGAAAAGAUUCAGUUCUCAGACUUGGCUGCUUAUUGGAAUUAUUUGAAGAGCUUUAAAAGUACUAGCUGCCCAUAAAGGUUGCAGAUAUUCAGUGCUAUUAUAGGAAUUUUCAUGAAUACGUUUGAAAAUCCUGAUCUAUGGAUUGAAUUCCUGUUUUGAUUAAUUGAUUUGUAAACCUCUGUCCCUUUUGUGACUCUGUUCUGCCUUUUGGGAUUGGAGUUUCAUUGUUUACCCAGAUGCACAGAUACUUCCUGAUCAUUUGCUUUGGAAAAGCCAACUGCCAAGUCAUAAGCAGCCCUGUGGCGAACCCUACAUGGUGUGGAACUGAGACCUUGUGCCAACAGCCAGGUGAGUGAGCUUGCAAGACAAUUCUCCAGCUGUAUAAAGCCUUUGAAUGACUGCAGCCUGGUCGACAUCUUGACUGCAACCACAUGAGAGACCCUGAGCCAGAAUCACCCAACUAAACAGUUCCCAGCCUCUUUGAAAUUGGACUGUGAUGAUCAUAGAAGAGAAAGCAGGAGUGCAAAGAAUUUGGACAGCCAGCACAGUAUUGAUUACUUUGGAAGAAACAAAGACUUCUACAGAAAUUGCUUCAUACAGGUUCAGAACAAAAUGAUUCUGCUUUAACCAAGUGCCUAUGUAAGUUCCAGAUUUUGUAAAUAUUGGCCCUGAAGCAAUAAGCAAUAUACCUGUGCAGAAGUCACUGGACAGGACAAUGGGGCUCAGAGUUUGAGAAAAGAAGAAUGAAGCCUGGAUGAGAACCGUCUCUUUUGCCCCUCUGUUGGAGGAUUGACCCAAGUUCUUUAUUGCAGAAUUGUAAAUAAAUAUAUCCAUUAAAAUCCAUCUCUAAAUUUAAAAUACAUCUCUAAAUGUAUAUUAUAAAUUGGUUAUGGACUAAGAGAAUGGUUUGAAACACACUCAAACCAAUCCUUUCGUCAUCUUCCUAAAGUCUUGAGUUUAAGAAUCCACAUUAGGCAUUUUUAUAGAAGGAAAAAUACCCUUGAUUCUUGCUCUUAUAGAAGACAAUCAGACAAGGAGCCCUCCUUAGAACACUUUGUCAAAGAAAAGCUUAUUUUU